rnacentral:rRNA from 1 species
AUUGAACGCUGGCGGUAUGCUUAACACAUGCAAGUCGAACGGUAACAGGCCUUCGGGCGCUGACGAGUGGCGGACGGGUGAGUAACGCGUAGGAAUCUGCCUCAUAGUGGGGGACAACGUGGGGAAACUCACGCUAAUACCGCAUACGCCCUACGGGGAAAGCGGGGACCGUUCGGCCGUCGCGCUGGUGGAGGAGCCUACGUCCGAUUAGCUAGUUGGUAGGGUAACAGCCUACCAAGGCGACGAUCGGUAGCUGGUCUGAGAGGAUGAUCAGCCACACUGGGACUGAGGACACGGCCCAGACACCUACGGGUGGCAG